rnacentral:rRNA from 1 species
CAGCAGCCGCGGUAAUACAGAGGGUUCGAGCGUUAAUCGGAUUUACUGGGCGUAAAGCGUGCGUAGGCGGCUUCUUAAGUCGGAUGUGAAAUCCCUGAGCUUAACUUAGGAAUUGCAUUCGAUACUGGGAAGCUAGAGUAUGGGAGAGGAUGGUAGAAUUCCAGGUGUAGCGGUGAAAUGCGUAGAGAUCUGGAGGAAUACCGAUGGCGAAGGCAGCCAUCUGGCCUAAUACUGACGCUGAGGUACGAAAGCAUGGGGAGCAAACAGGAUUAGAUACCCCAGUAGUCCCUGUCUCUUAUAC